rnacentral:rRNA from 1 species
AUGAAACAGGAGCAACUAUACCUGUCAGGCGAAAACCGUGAGAAGUUGUUGUCAGUAGGGACAACGCCAGCCAAAUUAUUGAAUGAUAUAUUUCUGUUCCAGGAGCAGCAAGAUCAUGUCAGUGAAGCCAAACAUCCAGACAUGCCUAAAACAUCUUUGAUAACUUACAAGGUAUUUAGGCUGAAGCAGUUCAUCAGUGAAGAGACAUCCCCAGUUAUAUUGUUAUUUUCCAGUUUUCUGCAAGAGCGAAUGAAGACAGAUGAAUCAAUAAUCAAUUUAAGACUACAUACUGAACCUUCUACUGAACGUACGGAUUUAGGAAAACUAUAUGACAUGAAAAGCUAUAACUCACAGCAACAUCAGAUUUUGCAGCAUUCCAAGUUCUUGGGGAAUCAGACCACCAAGAUGGUUGUUGGACAGAUCACUGAAAUAAGACCCAAGUUAUUCAAUAGAGCAUUCAAGGAACUAAUCAUUGACAGAAUUCACCAUUAG